rnacentral:rRNA from 1 species
GACGAACGCUGGCGGCGUGCCUAAUACAUGCAAGUCGAGCGGAAGUUGGAGAGCUUGCUCUUCAACUUUAGCGGCGGACGGGUGAGUAACACGUGGGCAACCUGCCCUGCAGAUCGGGAUAACUCCGGGAAACCGGUGCUAAUACCGAAUAGUUUUCGCCACCUCCUGGUGGCGUACGGAAAGACGGUUUCGGCUGUCACUGCAGGAUGGGCCCGCGGCGCAUUAGCUAGUUGGUGGGGUAACGGCCCACCAAGGCGACGAUGCGUAGCCGACCUGAGAGGGUGAUCGGCCACACGGGGACUGGGACACGGCCCAGACUCCUACGGGAGGCAGCAGUAGGGAAUCUUCCGCAAUGGACGAAAGUCUGACGGAGCAACGCCGCGUGAGUGACGAAGGUUUUCGGAUCGUAAAACUCUGUUGUGAGGGAAGAACAAGUACCAACUAACUACUGGUACCUUGACGGUACCUCACCAGAAAGCCACGGCUAACUACGUGCCAGCAGCCGCAGUAACAC